CAGCCGCCGCGGGAAUACGUAGGGUGCAAGCGUUAAUCGGAAUUACUGGGCGUAAAGCGUGCGCAGGCGGUGUUGUAAGACUGAUGUGAAAUCCCCGGGCUCAACCUGGGAACUGCAUUGGUGACUGCAACGCUGGAGUGCGGCAGAGGGGGAUGGAAUUCCGCGUGUAGCAGUGAAAUGCGUAGAUAUGCGGAGGAACACCGAUGGCGAAGGCAAUCCCCUGGGCCUGUACUGACGCUCAUGCACGAAAGCGUGGGGAGCAAACAGGAUUAGAUACCCCGGUAGUCCCUGUCUCUUAUAC
rnacentral:rRNA from 1 species